AGAUAAUCUACACCAGGUCUAUUUCAGAGAUCAACCAUACAUACUUGUUGAUACUUAUAGAAACGUCCUGGCAGACCAUAGGAUUCCCACAACCUGGCCAUGGUCUGGCCAGGGUUGCUCAUCUUGUUUCCUGUUUUUUCGAUGAAGAACGGCUCAUCCUCGAGGCCUUCCAAGAUUAUUCUUGACCCAAUGGUCUUGCUGCGCAAUACCAAGUACAUUUCGAGAAGAUUUGACCCAUAUUCAUCUAGUAUGAUCGUUGCUGGGCCAUGCGUAGACAUGGUUUUGUGUCGGCAAACCUGUGUAAAUAAGCUCUUCGAUGAGGCAGCCAAUUUCUGAAGAUGGUAAAGAGAGUGUUAUUGAUUGUAAAGAAUCUCCAAUCCAGAUGCGGUUUAGGGUACCCCAUGUGGAGUCAUGGGAGGACUAAGAUGAAGUGGUUUGAGGAAGAAGUGACAUUGAUAGGCGAGAAAGUGGAGUAAAGAGAAGAGAAAAAUAGUGGGAAACCUUUUAAAGAGGUGCAAGAAUUUUGAAAAACUUGUGUGAACAACCAGAUUUUCAGUGAUUUUUAAAAAUGUUUGCUCCCGUCUGUGAAAAUCCCUCGGAGAUCUCCCCCUGCCAUUCUUGUGAUGUUGCCAAACAUUCCUAUGUAGUCUUUGGUGGUGCCUUCACUCAAGCCAGUCAUCGACAUGUAUGCUGCAAAGCUCUCCACAUUGGGUGUCAUAGUCAUUUUUACUGGUUAUCCAGAAAACAAAACCACGAAAUUGCAACAUACGCUUGGGCAUAAGUUUGCAGAUACCGUUUAUCGAAUACUGAAGGAAUGAUUAACAUCAUGAAAUUUCAGAGAAAAUUUUGGAAAUCACCCCAGGUAGACCGUAGGUCCCUAUGCUAAUGAGCAAAUAGGCCAGAUGCUUCCAAAUCAUCUCGUAGCUGAAUGCUCCUGCCUACAAAAUCUUGUGAACCUCAAAAUGGCAGCAAAGAUGGAAUCAGAUUGAUGAUAAUUGUUACAACCCCAAGUCAUUGGAGUAAAAGAAGAACUUACUAUGUCAACAAAGCAGAUCUUGAUGGUAUGAAUACCCAGGAGCAUCUCCGGAAGGUUGUAAUAAUUGAUUCUAGGCAUUGAUUCAGAGGUCAACAUGCGGCCCCAGGAUGAACAUUAUUGCCGUCACCAAUGGCUACCCAUCAAAGAGGGGGGGAGGGGUUCGUUUUCAUUGAAGAGUGGGUAGCCUUGAGAAAUCAUUAUAUUUGAAAUUGGUGUCAGAAACUACUUGAAAGUAUACUUGGGAAAUUUUUUGUCUCGCCUGCAUAGCAGAGUGAGGUGGUAGGUGCUGCUUUUUGUCUCUCCCACCAUAGGUGAAGGCGAGACUUAGGGACCCAAAUGUUGUCCGUCGUCCGUCCUUCAUCUUAUGACACCUAAUUACCAUUAUGUUCAAGUUUGUCAUGAAAGCCCAACAACAUGGAUCAUAAAAUGACUGCUACUUUACUGCUAACAGAAAAAGGAAACAAAAAUUUCAAUUUAAAUUGUGUGUUUUUCAAAGGGAAAACUAAAAAUCAAAAUAUGCUAAAACAGAAAAAUGAACCAUUUUUCUGUUUCCUUUUUUACACAUUCCAUUCUUGAAUCAAAAUAUUGAAAUUUUUUUCUGUUUUAAAUCUCUGAAAUAGAAUCAUUUUCAAUCCAAUUUUUGUUUUAUCUCGCCUGCAUAGCAGAGCAAGACUUUAGGCGCUGCAUUUCUGAUGGCGGCGUUGUCAACAUCAAAUCUUAACCUAAGGUUAAGUUUUUUAAAUGACGUCAUAGCUUAAAAAGUUUAUGGACCUAGUUCAUGAAACUUACACAUAAGGGUAAUGAAGCGUUACUGGGCAUUCUGUCUGAGUUAUAGGUCAUUUAGGGUCAAUGAACUUUGGGCAUGUUAGGGGUAAUUGUUGAAUUACCUUUGUAACUUAUAAGAGUAAUCAAGUAUCACUGAAUAUCCUGUGUGAUUUUCAUGUCACGUGAAAAAGGUCAUGUAGGGUCAAUGAACUUUAGCUGUGUUAGGGGUAUUUGUUCAUAUGACAUCAUAACUUUCAUCAAAUAAUAGUUCAUCAAAAAUAGACAUAGUAUCAAUUAUUGUUUUCGACACUUCUUACGUCAUAUGAUAAUGGUCAGAUGUCAUUUUGGGUCCAUGGACAUAUUAUCGUAUUGUCCAUUUCCUUUUUUCAAUCAUUAUUUAUUACCCGUUUUCGAAAUCAGCACUGCUGCUUUUUGUAAUCGUGUAAUGCAGGCGAGACUGCCAGAGGCGUUCCACUCGUUCAGAGAAAAAAAAUGAAACUUAAUAUGUAAACAGUAAAACAGAAAAAUUAACCGUUUUCCUGUUUUCCCGGUCUCACAUAUUUAAUUCUUGAAUCAAAAUAUUGAAAAAUGACUGUUUUUGUAUUAAAUCUCGGGAAUAGAAUCAAUUUUCAAUUCAUUUUGGUGUUUUUGCUCUUUCUUUUCGAAUUAGAAAAACAUAUCAUCUAACAGUAACUUGAUUAUUAUGAUGUGAUAUUUGCUUAUUUUGGGUUACCACGAGUUAAUAGGGUAUUACUAUAACUCAUGAAAAGUGUUUUUAGGUACUCAGUAUAUACUAAAAAGUUUAAUAUUUAAACCAUGAUUAUUUAAGUUUUCAUGAUGUGAAGGUCAAAUGCCAAGGUCACAGAUUAAUGCUACUUGUUAACAGUUAUUGAGUGAUUGGAAUUGAUAAUGGUAAUGUAUAAAUUUGAUUGCUUCAGAAUUUUGUUGAUAAGUAAAAUAUAAUUAAAAUCCGUGGAUGACAGAGGCAUUGCUUUCAACUAUGUGACGUUGAGAAUCCAUUCAGUCCAGGAAGAAGAAAGUUGUGGAGAAUGAGAGUUUUAUGGCUCUCAAAGGGGGUUAUACACAAAGCUAGAACAAACAAAAGAGAAAAUUGUCAUAAAACAAGUAAGUUGAACAAUAACAACAUUUUUAAUAAGAUAAGAAGACAGAAACAAAAUUUUUCAACAAGAGAAACAUAACCAUCUCAACAACUUAAAAGCACUUGGUCCACUUAAAAAUAAGGUCAAGUCCACCUCAGAAAAAUUUUGAUUUGAAUCAAUAUAGAAAUAUCAGACAAGCACGAUGCUGAAAAUUUCAUCAAAAUCGGAUGUAAAAUAAGAAAGUUAUGAGGUUUCCAAGUUUUGCUUAUUUUUAACAAAAUAGUUCUAUGAAUGAGCCAGUUACGUCCACAUGAGAGAGUCGAUGAUGUAACUCACUAUUUCUUUUGUUUUUUAUUGCUUUAAUUAUACAAUAUUUCAAUUUUGACGAAUUUGAUGUUUAGGACCUCCUUGCCUAAAAAAAAAAUGUGAAAAUAAUUAAAUUCCACAUGUUCAGGGAGGAAUGAAACUUCAUUUCACAUGACAAUGGUGAGAAAAUCAAAAUACUUCAUAUUUCAUAUAAUAAAAGUUUUUGUUGGUGUGGACUUGUCCUUUAAGGAAGGCCUCAGCAUUUUGAUCUGCUACAUUUAAUAAUCAUUUGGGAAAUCAAUGUUUGAUCUAAAUAAUUGACAAUUCACUCCUUGAUGUACAUGAUUAACUGACUUUGUAAAAUUUUCAUCUGGUCUCUUACGAAAUGCAAUCAGGUGAUUAUUUUAUCUUUAUUGUCCAAUUACCAAUGUAAUUGUGCUUUGUAUGUCAAUAUUAUAACAGGUUUGGUGGAAUCAUCACAUGAAAAUAUAAGUAUCGAUUAAAUGAUCUAAAUUGACAUGGAGGGCAAAGGAGAAUGAAACCCUUGAAACCAGUUGAAUUC